rnacentral:rRNA from 1 species
UACGAAGGGUGCAAGCGUUGUUCGGAAUUACUGGGCGUAAAGCGCGCGUAGGCGGGUCGUCAGUCGAUUGUGAAAGCCCUGGGCUUAACCUGGGAAUUGCAGUCGAUACUGCCGAUCUUGAAUGUCUGAGAGGAUGGCGGAAUUCCCGGUGUAGUAGUGAAAUACGUAGAUAUCGGGAAGAACACCUGAGGCGAAGGCGGCUAUCUGGCGGUACAUUGACGCUGAGGCGCGAAAGCGUGGGGAGCAAACAGGG